UAUCACCCACCACAUCGCAAACUCAUAGCAGGAAGGGAUAGCUCCAGCAGCCGACCCACCAAUCACCAAAAAGGCCCACCUCUUCUCCCUACCAUUAAACAUCGAACCAGAGGAAGGUAUAUAAGGCCGCCGCCGCCGCCGCCGGUGUGUCUCUGCGCCAUUAACUCGCCUGUGUCUCAGCUCUCUCUACGCCCAUCAGAUCUCCAGCUCUCGAAGAGGACAAACCUAGAAGCCUACCGGACACCUUAACUUAUUCGAAAAUAACUUAGUCGCGAUUCUGAUUUUUUUUUUCUUUCGGGACUUAGUCUCAAUCUCUAUUAAGAGAGCUGUAUCAACAUUAACACUUUAAUAAAGUGCUACCAUCCAGCAACCUCUGACUCUUUGGCCAUUCUCUGCGCUGCCUUGCCACUUCUUCAGGUUCUCACCGAGGUCGAGCAACCCAGGGAAGGAGCAGCGGUGCCUGCAUUCAUCCAUUGAUCCCGUCAUCCGGUACCUUUCUACGCAUCAUCAUGGUUAACCCCCGCCGAACUUCUUCCGUUGGACGCGAAAUUCCCCUCCGUGCCGCGGGUAUACGCCGCAGGCGUGCCUCCCGGUCGGUACUUAGGCUCCCUACAGCUCGUCAGUUGUUUGCCGACGAGAACGACUUAACAAGCAGAGUAACAAGGUACUCUCCAGUGCGUAGUUUCGCGCCCUCCCGCGCAUACCCUUAUCGUCCUCCCCGAAACCCUCCAGCGGUUCUUCAAGAGGAACACCAGCCCAGAGCCAGG